rnacentral:rRNA from 1 species
GGCAGCGACGCUUAUGCGUUGUUGGGUAGGGGAGCGUUCUGUAAGCCUGUGAAGGUGUACUGUGAGGUAUGCUGGAGGUAUCAGAAGUGCGAAUGCUGACAUAAGUAACGAUAAAGCGGGUGAAAAGCCCGCUCGCCGGAAGACCAAGGGUUCCUGUCCAACGUUAAUCGGGGCAGGGUGAGUCGACCCCUAAGGCGAGGCCGAAAGGCGUAGUCGAUGGGAAACAGGUUAAUAUUCCUGUACUUGGUGUUACUGCGAAGGGGGGACGGAGAAGGCUAUGUUGGCCGGGCGACGGUUGUCCCGGUUUAAGCGUGUAGGCUGGUUUUCCAGGCAAAUCCGGAAAAUCAAGGCUGAGGCGUGAUGACGAGGCACUACGGUGCUGAAGCAACAAAUGCCCUGCUUCCAGGAAAAGCCUCUAAGCAUCAGGUAACAUCAAAUCGUACCCCAAACCGACACAGGUGGUCAGGUAGAGAAUACCAAGGCGCUUGAGAGAACUCGGGUGAAGGAACUAGGCAAAAUGGUGCCGUAACUUCGGGAGAAGGCACGCUGAUAUGUAGGUGAAGUCCCUCGCGGAUGGAGCUGAAAUCAGUCGAAGAUACCAGCUGGCUGCAACUGUUUAUUAAAAACACAGCACUGUGCAAACACGAAAGUGGACGUAUACGGUGUGACGCCUGCCCGGUGC